rnacentral:rRNA from 1 species
AACCCUCGUCGUCUCCGCCUUGCUCUAUCCAUCCGUCGGCGAUGCAGGCCGCCGUCGCCUUGAGCCAGAGCCAGGCGUCCCUUCUCAUCCGGCGGCUCCCAAGGCCUUACCACGGCGGCGGGCCGGAGCCGGAUGAUGGCGUGCUGCUGCUAGGACGACGAGGCGUGUCGCUCCCGCGGCUGCGGCGCGCCUGUUGCUCCGCGAGCCUAUCCGUCGGUACCGGCGCCGGCUCCGGCGCCGGCAGUGAGCAUGUUCCCGUAUUCCCAAGACAAAAAACAUGGGAUCCUUACAUGCUUCUUGGUGUUGAUCGUGAUGCAUCUGAAGAAGAGAUCAAUAGUGCAAGAAACUUCCUUCUUCAACAAUACGCUGGGUAUGAAGAAAGCGAAGAGGCAAUUGAAGGUGCUUAUGAUAAGAUAAUGAUGAAAAGCUACUCACACCGUAAGAAAUCGAAAAUCAACCUGAAAAGCAAAUUAAAGAAGCAAGUGGAAGAAUCUCCAUCAUGGGUUAAGUCACUGCUUGGACACUUCGAGGUGCCAUCGAUGGAUGUCGUGUCAAAAAGGUUUGCUCUCUUUGGCUUUAUUGCUGGGUGGAGCAUCGCAACUUCUGCUGAGACUGGACCUACCUUCCAGCUUGCAUUGGCACUCGUCUCAUGCAUAUACUUCCUCAACGACAAGAUGAAAAACCUUGCCAGGGCGUCUGCUACAGGGCUUGGGCUCUUUGCGGGUGGCUGGAUAGUAGGUUCGCUGGUAGUCCCAGUGAUCCCGGCAUUUAUUUUCCCGCAUACUUGGUGUCUGGAGCUCCUUACUUCGCUGGUCGCUUAUGUAUUUUUAUUCUUGGGUUGCUCUCUCGUCAAGUGAAAUCUCUGAAGCUUGAAACCGUUGUUGUUUCUGCAAGAUUUUCUCUUACUGACGUCUCAAGUGCGUCAAUUCACCCUUUUGACCUGUGCUGUGAGUAUAGAUAGAUGCCCUUUGGACAAAUCGAAACUCGGCCCUCUAUUGUUCCGAUCCCAUGAGCCGUUGUUAUCUCUAGUCUAAGCUCAUACAGUAGUAUUGAUCAGUAUUGUAUUGUAGGCAGAGCAAGCCAGUUUCUGCAAGCUGAUGCUGCUACCUCUAGAGUGCUUGGGCAUGCUUUUGGACCUAUAUAUACAUGACUCGUACAGUUUCAGAUGUGCAAUCAAUUUAUCAUGCUUUUUUUUUAU